UCUUGCGUCUGGUGAACAUUAUCUCCCUUACUUGAAGAUUGAGUUACCUCGCCUGUGUGGAAUUUUCAGCUGCAGUAACAAUACAAUCAUGAGCUGCUACAAGUUCCUCCUGCUGGUUGGAUUGAUGCUGACGUACCUAUCGAUGGUGGAGUCAUCGGCUUGCUCAAAGAUCAAGUGCCUUAACGGUGGAACAUGUUAUGAAAAAAGUGGCAGAGCCUAUUGUCGGUGUACUGUAAACUACACAGGCACCUACUGUGGAACUUUGAUUG